rnacentral:piRNA from 1 species
UAAUAACUGCAUGUUCAAUUC